GGCGGCGUGCUUAACACAUGCAAGUCGAACGAAAAGAGGGAAAGAGCUUGCUCUUUCCGGAAUUGAGUGGCAAACGGGUGAGUAACACGUAAACAACCUGCCUUCAGGAUGGGGACAACAGACGGAAACGACUGCUAAUACCGAAUAAGUUCCAAGAGCCGCAUGGCCCAUGGAAGAAAAGGUGGCCUCUACCUGUAAGCUAUCGCCUGGAGAGGGGUUUGCGUCUGAUUAGCUGGUUGGAGGGGUAACGGCCCACCAAGGCGACGAUCAGUAGCCGGUCUGAGAGGAUGAACGGCCACACUGGAACUGAGACACGGUCCAGACUCCUACGGGAGGCAGCAGUGGGGAAUCUUCCGCAAUGGGCGAAAGCCUGACGGAGCAACGCCGCGUGAGUGAUGACGGCCUUCGGGUUGUAAAACUCUGUGAUCCGGGACGAAAAGGCAGAGUGCGAAGAACAAACUGCAUUGACGGUACCGGAAAAGCAAGCCACGGCUAACUACGUGCCAGCAGCCGCGGUAAUACGUAGGUGGCAAGCGUUGUCCGGAAUUAUUGGGCGUAAAGCGCGCGCAGGCGGCUUCCCAAGUCCCUCUUAAAAGUGCGGGGCUUAACCCCGUGAUGGGAAGGAAACUGGGAAGCUGGAGUAUCGGAGAGGAAAGUGGAAUUCCUAGUGUAGCGGUGAAAUGCGUAGAGAUUAGGAAGAACA
rnacentral:rRNA from 1 species